AACGAACGCUGGCGGCAUGCCUAACACAUGCAAGUCGAACGAGACCUUCGGGUCUAGUGGCGCACGGGUGCGUAACGCGUGGGAACCUGCCCUUAGGUUCGGAAUAACUCCCCGAAAGGGGUGCUAAUACCGGAUAAUGUCUUCGGACCAAAGAUUUAUCGCCUUUGGAUGGGCCCGCGUUGGAUUAGCUAGUUGGUAGGGUAAAAGCCUACCAAGGCGACGAUCCAUAGCUGGUCUGAGAGGAUGAUCAGCCACACUGGGACUGAGACACGGCCCAGACUCCUACGGGAGGCAGCAGUAGGGAAUAUUGGACAAUGGGCGAAAGCCUGAUCCAGCAAUGCCGCGUGAGUGAUGAAGGCCUUAGGGUUGUAAAGCUCUUUUACCCGGGAUGAGAAUGACAGUACCGGGAGAAUAAGCUCCGGCUAACUCCGUG
rnacentral:rRNA from 1 species